GGAAGGGGCAGAGAAGGGAACGGGCGCCGCGGGACUCACGACGCGGUUCUGGUCGGUGACGAACUCGUCGAUGUUCUCCAGGGACCUCCCGGAGCCGCUCCUCCCCGCUGGAUUGUAUUCCCAGCAGAAAUCUGGUGUGUUGAAGCCCCCACGGGAACAGGGACUGGCCAUGGUGGGGCUUCUCAUCUGCCUCUUCGUCCUGGUUGGGUGUGUACCUGGGUCCCACCUGGACACCUGUCCUGUCGGCCUUCCCCUGAUCCUUACCCAUCACCUCUCCACCCUUCCUUCCAUCACCGGUUGGACUCGAUAAAAAUAGAAUAGAAUAGAAUAGAAUAGAAUAGAAUAGAAUAGAAUAGAAUAGAAUAGAAUGCUGCUUCUUAGAUUUGGGGAAAACCAACCUGUAACAGCUGAUAACUGGCAGCAAGAAGCAGCAAUUCCGAAACAGACCUGCUCCAGUCAUGAGAGGGUCAGCGGCUCCGCAGAGCUUGGGAGCGGCCCAACAGCAGCGGCAGCUCGAGUGUCUGCAAACGCACCGGCCCCGUGUCCGGCACGGGCAGCACGUUUCCGAAGGAAGGGUCCCUCCUCAUGCAGUUCCCUGUCCGAGGCGGCAGGUGACAGCGGGACACCGCGCUCGCCCGGCAGCCGCGGCGCGGCCCGCUGGAAGGGCCAGGGAGCUGCGUCGCUGCUCGGCCUGCGCGGGCAGAGCGCCCGGGCGGACCCUGCGCGCCUCCAGCGGCGGCGGGACAGCGGCGGGACACGGACACGGCUGUGCCUGACAGCGCCGCGGAAAGCAUCCAUGGAGCGGGCGAGGAAUGCCGCCACCGCAGCGGGGGGAGAGCCCUCCAAGAGCGUCCAGUCCAAUCUGCCUCCAGCGCUGCCAAGGCCACCGCUAACCCAUGUCCCCAAGUACCACAUCCACACGGCUUUAAAUCCCUCCAGGGAGGGGGCCUCACCCGGAGAGCUCUUUCCAUGAAGGAACUUUCCCUAAUAUCCUACCUAAACCUCCCCUGGCACAACUUGAGGCCGUUUCCUCUUGUCCUCUCACUUGUUCCUUAGGAGGAGAGAUGGUGCCACUCCCCUUCAUCCCCCUGCUCAGUCAGCAUCAGCAUCUCUGAAAACAGGCGCCAGAAGGAGCUGAGCAAGCUGAAAAAGAUCCAAUUAUCAGCAAAUAUCUGGGGUUUGGUUGAGCAGGGUUGCAUGACCCCAGGAGCAACUGUGCUCUUGCUCCAGCAGGCACAGAGCCCCAAGGAAGAACCUCUGGCUGGGGAGUGCAGCAAUGAUGCCACCCCAGGGUGGCCACGUCCGUCAGGAGUGUCCCUUGCCCUGGGCGAAGUCACUCACUCCGUGAGAACUCCAAGCGGAUGCAGAUCCUCACUUGAACACAACACUUUUUUACCUGGCAAAGGUCAGGGAAGGAAAUUGAACACGUGUGAUAAGUGUUAAAAUAAACUCACGGUGGCCCCGUGCAGGAGUGUUUCUCUAGGGCUCACAAUGGCAUUACUCAGCUGGCACUGGCUUUGUUUUGCUGGUAACAAAAUGAUCCACAUCCUCUUCCUCCUGUGUCCCAGGCACCUUCUCUCACACUCCUGUUGUCUCUCUUUCUUCAUUUCACUGUAGUUAUUCUUGUGCUGUGACAUUCCUGGCUUGACAUUUUGGUCUGGUUUAUGGAAGGAGUGUGCAAGUCUUAAAUGCAUUACUCAUCUUUUUGUUGU